AUGAUCUGCCAGAGCACUGUUGUUUCCAGGGAAGCCACACUGCUUUCCCCAGUGCUGAUGGAAAACCGACCUACUCCAUGGCUGACGGACGUCAGAGACAUCUAUUGUUCCAAACCUCAGUGUGGAACGCGGGGCCAGUGUGAACACAAAGGAGUUAUCAUCGCACAGGUGAGGGCAGAGGCUGGGAGAAGACGAGGCAUAAAUCUGAAAUCUUAA
rnacentral:lncRNA from 1 species